GCUGUUAUUGUGUUUGUGUGUGGUAGAGAGAGGGAGAGAUAACAGCCUUACCCUGGGGCUUCAACCACCUACAGCAGGUAGGAGACCCAGUGUGUUUGACUAUCGUCAAAGAAAAAGGAAAAAAAGAAUGCUGGGAACCAUGUGGACAAUCUGCUACAUGUAUCUGCCAUACCUGAAGUCCCCUUUUUGUAAGUUUCAAUUUGUUGGUAAUUUAAGCACAUUCAAACUGACCUUGUACAUUUCUGCGUAGCAGUAGUUCAUAACCUGAACAACAAGCUGACUUUAAAGUCUGUGUUGAACGGAUCAAAUAAAGCUAAACUAGGGGUCAGUCAAUUUUCAUUCAACCUUUAAUUAAGGAGCUAAGUUAUUAAGAAAAUACCUUCAUUUUUUUUUAAAUUUUAUAGUAACAUAGGAAAACUAAAAUCAAGUAACAGCCAAACAGCCACACCCAGCUGUAAAAUGCUGCCCCCUGGUGGGGAGAGGUACUUUGUUUCAGUGAGUGAGCUGGUUUAGAAAGGAACUGAUUAUAUUUUGUUAUAAUGGGUGGGAAGUUGCUGCCAAUAUUGAUUAUAAAGUUGACAUUUAAAUAUCAAAAUUUGUUUGGUUUUUUUUUUUUUUUUUUUUUCCCCCCAAUGAACCUUGCCAUCCAAAAGAACAAUAUCAAUCCACUUGUAUUUGAGUGUAACCAAUUAAGCUAUAGUGCUGUUAAUUUCAUUUACAACAAACCCUGAAGAAUAAAACCUAAGAUACAACAAUAAUAAAUUACUUAAAUACGUUUCCAUUAAAUCGAAAGACCAAACAUUUUCACUUUAGGAUUGCUUUCUAUUGUAGCUUACCAUUUCUAAACCACUUGAGCAGCUGUAGUUGAGUAACAAGACCAGACAAAUUUUAAUACCUUUAAUUUAUAUUGUGCAAGUUGUACAGAGAUGUUGUUGUUCCACGUAGAAGGAAAGUACAACAAUUGACACAAUUCUGGCUGACUAGGUCUCUUAAACUGUGCAAUUCUGAAAUUGUAAUAUCCAAUCACAACACUACUCUUGGUUAAAUGGAAUAUAUGGCUUCUGAGUCAUCUAUACAGUGAAAGGGAAGAGACAAGGAUCCAACAGUCGCACACAACCAGUUCUGAUCACACUGAGCGAAUAAAACUAAAACCCAAUAUUUGUCAGCAAUUUGUCUGUAACAGUGUGUAGCAUUAAAAGUUGCAUUUGACAAAAGCAACAGUUACAUCUCUUGCACUUGGUCCUUAAAUUUCAACCGUGUAUGUGAAGUUGGCAAAAAACAAAAAGCAUCGAUGAGAAACGCAAUUUAAAAUAUUUAAAUAGGGAAAAGCUUAAAAAAGAAAAAAAAUCCUAUUCAAAAUACUAGUUUCUUGUGGUAAUAAAAAGGUA